UUUUCACAACUCUGACAACUGCGGUCCUGGCUACUUUACAGACACAGGAGAGCAGUCUCCUCUAACAGCGUGUGCAGGAUGCAGGCAUCGAGAAAAGCACCUGGGGUGUAGCUCAGUGGUGGAGCCCAAGGCCCUGGGCAGGUCCCAGCGCACACACUCAAGCAAGCAUUUGAACAUCCAGAAAGCUGGUGAGCACGCUUCAGUCACGACAGGCAUGCUGUGGUGUCUGCAGAGGGGACUGAGACGUGAUGGCCUCUGCUUCUCAGCAGUGCUGCUCCCGCCGUCCUCGUGUGCCAGGGGAGCACUUGGUGCUGCCUUGCUGGGCAAACUCGAGAUGUCCGUUGGGUUCUGGCCAAGGUGAGCGGCUGCCCAACACACACGUCACCCAGCCCUCUUUUGACUUUGAGAUGGGGCCUUGAAUGUUUCUUCAUGGCCCUCUCCUUUGGGCCCAACAUGCAAAUAGCAAGGGAAGGUGGGCCAGAGACCCCCAGGGGGUCCCACAGUGGAAUGCUCGGUGGGGCAGGAGGUUACCAUUGUGGUAUCCUGACGGGACACAAGCGGGGUACACACACCCUAUCAGUGAGGUGUAGAGGUCCCAGCACACUCCUCCAACAGCAGGGCCUGUAGACUCUCUAAGAAGCAGCAGUAGACACAGCCCUAAGGGCACAGCCUUUGGAGAGCAAGGUGCAAAGUCUAGGAGGCUCCAUCUGCAAGGCAGGACUUCUGAGGUCCUGCUCCAUCCUGGCAUGGAGCACAGCAGCCACCCUGCCCUGAAUGUGGCUCUGAAAAGGCACAAGGUACCGAAUCUUCUGCUCAGACCCUUCCUCUGUGCUCUGGGGACUUCUGCUGAUGGAGAAUGCAACUAUUAUGGAUACCUCUGCUCAUCCCACCACCCAGUCUGCUCCUGCCGCUGCUGUCCCCACGUGCAUGAGGACGCGCCUGCGUGGGCUCUGACGUUGCGUGUUGAGCUUCCCUCAUCCUCCACCCCUGCAGGUGGCCCGACACGCUGGGAGGAGGCAGGGAGAUGGUACAGCCUUUUAGUGUUAGAGUACAUUCGCACCCAUGUUUACUUACCAAAGUUCUCACAGGAGGUGCGAGAUGCAAGCACUAACACCAAAGAGUGAGACCCUGCCUGCUGUAGGAAAGGUGUCCCAGAGCCCACGUCCAGGCUGUCACAUCCCAGCUGCCUGUGCACGUGGCCCUGCGGAGGACUUGCAGGGGGCAGGUGAGGAGCCCUGGGCAUUUCCUUGCCUUUGCGGCAGGAAGAUAUCCCUCUGAUCCUUGGCCUGGGAGGCAGAGGUAGCACAGCUCUGGGGUGUGAAGCAUCAGUUCUGUCAGCUGCAGAGCCGGAGAGGCCUUCCC
rnacentral:lncRNA from 1 species